CACACAUCAUAUUCAGUCUCUUAAGCAAUCAAAUGAAGCACUAUGUCAUGCUAAAUAAAGUUUAGGGUCAACCACUGAUUUAAUCAUAUGGUAUAUCACUCCUAGAGGUAACUAAAACGUAAGGAAUAAUUGAGCUUAUGGUAACUGGAUUGUUCAUUGGAAGAUACUGGACUGUUCAUGCUAAUGGUAACUGCAGCGCGUGCAAUUAUUUUGGUACAUUCAGGAUUAACAAGUGCCAAUUUGGUUGUCUCCAACCGACUCAACAAUGGUAUCAUGUUCCUCGGUAUUGGCUCAAGCCCUACCAAAAUUUGUUGGUGGUAUUUGAGGAGCUUGCUGGCGAUGGUACAAAGAUUGAUCUUCUGAAAGUCACCCACAUGUUGAGAAAUGGCAGACCAAGAACCGAGGCAAACUGAAGGAGCAAAAGAAGCCUAAACUUCGUCUAGAGUGUACAAACGAGCAAUCCAUUUCUACUAUUAAAUUUUCAAGCUUCAGUACUCCACCUAGAAGCUAUGGGAACUGUAACCAUGGUACCUGUCACGCUCGAAACUCUACCGAUGUGCUGAAUAAGGUACCCUCACAGUAGUGUCACGCUGCUACUGCUUUGCUUCAGUUCAGGGUCAAAAGUUUUUCCAUUUACCCAAGUUCAAGAUCAAUAAAACCUUGGACAAACUUGCAGUAUUGCUAGCUAUUUUGCUAUGUUGUUUACUUGGUUGCCCGAAUUGUGUAGUGCUUCUAGUUUAUUACCUUGCAGUACUGCAUGCAUAUAUUUUGUUGGCUGCCUAGAUUAUUAGAUAUGAGCCAUUUUGAACUAAUGUUCAUGAUUAGGCUUGUGUACACGAGACGAUGAUGGAUUAUUUUCAGAAUGAUUUUGGAU